UGGGGAAUAUUGGACAAUGGGCGCAAGCCUGAUCCAGCCAUGCCGCGUGUGUGAAGAAGGCCUUCGGGUUGUAAAGCACCUUUGUCCGGAAAGAAAAGCUUCGGGUUAAUACCCCGGGGUUCUGACGGUACCGGAAGAAUAAGCACCGGCUAACUUCGUGCCAGCAGCCGCGGUAAUACGAAGGGUGCAAGCGUUACUCGGAAUUACUGGGCGUAAAGCGUGCGUAGGUGGUUUGUUAAGUCUGAUGUGAAAGCCCUGGGCUCAACCUGGGAAUUGCAUUGGAUACUGGCAGGCUAGAGUGCGGUAGAGGAUGGCGGAAUUCCCGGUGUAGCAGUGAAAUGCGUAGAGAUCGGGAGGAACAUCUGUGGCGAAGGCGGCCAUCUGGACCAGCACUGACACUGAGGCACGAAAGCGUGGGGAGCAAACAGGAUUAGAUACCCACGUAGUCCCUGAGCGGGCUGGCAAGGCGCAU
rnacentral:rRNA from 1 species